rnacentral:rRNA from 1 species
UACGGAGGGUGCAAGCGUUAUCCGGAUUCACUGGGUUUAAAGGGUGCGUAGGUGGGCAGGUAAGUCAGUGGUGAAAUCUCCGGGCUUAACCCGGAAACUGCCGUUGAUACUAUCUGUCUUGAAUAUAGUGGAGGUGAGCGGAAUAUGUCAUGUAGCGGUGAAAUGCUUAGAUAUGACAUAGAACAUCGAUUGCGAAGGCAGCUCGCUACAGGAAUAUUGACACUGAGGCACGAAAGCGUGGGGAUCAAACAGG